AUAAUUUGAGGUUUUACACAAGAUUUCACAUGUGGUUACUCUGCCUGCUGCUCAUCAGUCUAUUUGUUUCAGUGAUUUCUGCACACCACUGAGCAAUCACAUUCCCACCCUAAGGGAUAAGUGCGUGACAGACUGGACGUCUCUGGCAGCAUACCUGGGCUUGAAUCAAGUUUUCAAAUUAUUUUUUUUUCUCGUGUUGCCAUCCAAGGCACGGUCAGAACUGAGGGCAAACUCCAGUUCGGAGGUGAGCAAGGAAAGCCCUUCUGAAACUGCCAGGAGCUGAAACAAUUUGGCAAGCGUUGCAGAAGAAAACUGCCAGCAUGGAAUGACGAGAUGGGAGCAUUACUUCAACAGAAGAAGCUCUGAUUAGCAGAUUAUCGCUUAAGUGAUGUUGAUCCCAGCCACGCUGCCUUCCAAAUGAGCCCUUUCACAGCUGCCAGCUGCACCACGGAGUCAUGCAUGUAAAUAAGUGGGCCAGAUCCUUUGCUGGCAUCGGUUGAGGCAGCUCUGAUGGACCAUCGUGGAGUUACAGCAGCUGGAGAAGUCUGGCUAUGUCAGGGAGUUUGACGUGCCUCACAAACUUCUUUGGGAGCUGAUGGGAAGGAGAGCCUGAAACAGAGCUGCCUGCAUGUUGCAGGAUGGGACAGCUUCUCCUGGUCCAACAGCACCAAAAGCACAGCUGGAGGGACCCUCUAAACCUUAAUUUAGUCUAUUUGCUACCUGACAAGCUCUUCUUUAUACUUUGUGCUAUCUGAUAUAUCCAUGCAGAGCCGGAAGAUUGGACGCUGGAUUUAAGGGAGACCCCUGCCUGUCUGGAGAGGAGGCCUGGCAGGUCCCUUGAGGCAUUGCAAUUGUAGUAAUCUCUGUUCAAAGUGCUGAGUCCCACUAGUACUGGAAUAUUGGUCCUCCAGUGAGAUGGCAGCUGUUUGUAGCAGAGUGGUCUAGAUGAUCAGAGUUACAGAAGAAGCCAGUACUGUAUCCCAUUAAUAUAAACACGGAGUCACAAAAAAUUUUGAAUUGUAUUGGCAGCCCAAUCCUAUUGUCUGAACUCAGGCCAUUUUGGGCAGCAAAGAAAGGAAAACAACAAAUGCUAUGCAUCACUGGGGAAGAAGCCCUGCCAAAGAACUGCAUCCACAGGGAUCAUGGCAGAAAGAGAGACCCAAAGCAACAUCUUCCAUGUGGCAGUAGCUCGAUUCAAUGGGUAACGUUAAAUGAAAGGCAUGCAUUUCAUCGGUCUCCUGUUGAUGUCAAUCUUGUGUACUGAGAUCAAAAAUUGACCUUUCUAAACUGAAAUGUUUCCCUCCAGGAAGUUUAAAUAUUUUGACUUUGUUCCAGUUUGAGAGGAAAACAAACAUCCAAAUAUCAGAGUCUUCUUGUGCAAGAGCAAUGUCAUUGCCCCAUGUGCUGUGCCGUUGUAUUUAUUACUUUGUUCAUUGCAUCUGAUUUUUAUUUUUUUUUUUCCAGUGGAAAGUUUUAAAUGGAAAUGAUUGAGGUUGGUUUUGAAGACUGGCACAAGGCUGAACAUACUUCUCUGGGAUUUCUUCUCUUCCCCUCCUCCUUUUCCAAGUAAAGUGAUAAAUUGAAUCAUAUAUAGAUUCCACAAGCACAAUUCUAGACUUCAUGUGCACAUGAGCAUGCAUUUGUAUGCAGUCAUGCACAUGCAUUGGCAAGAAAAUAAUGAAGACAAACAAAACAUCCUCUAUGCCAAACAGUGGCAGUAGAGAAAAGGGAAUAGUGAAUAAUCUAAUAACACCAUGCCAGAAAUGUGAGGGAAAAAUACCUAAAAAAGGAAAAGGGAGAGCUGAUUGCUGCAUGCCCAACUCUCAGAGAGAAACAGAUCAUUAGCUGAGAGGUAGGAGACUUCCUGGAGUACAGUAAAUAAUAUAGUAAUUGUCCAACAUGACAACAAUAUUUAUCUUCUUAAUUUCAGCCAUUUAAAAAUACAUUUCUAGGAUGUCUCAGAUGCUUAUCUUUGUGUGGGAUUGAAAGCCAAUAUAGUCUUCUUUCUUGAAUGACUCUAGAGGGAACCUAGAGGUUUACUUUAAACUAGACAACUCAAUUUUACAUGGCUAAAGUUAGGUGAAAUUGAUCCCUUUCUUUUCCUAUCCAUCCCCUGCUGCUGCUCAGACUCCAGUUGAAGACACUGUAUACUCAUUAACUCCAAGAGAGUUUCUAGUGUGCUAGUGAGCUAAUAAAGGAAGGAAUUUAUGAUUUCAGAAAAAGGAUAAACAUCAAGAUCCUUGCUCCCAACAAAUAGCCUUGGAAAAGAAAAAAAUAGAAAAAAAAAAAAAGAGAAAAAACAGAAGGCAGGCUGGAGGGGGGGGGGGGAUGCUACUUAGGCAGAAGUCUUGAAAUAGAAAGUUGGUCCAACAUUGCUGUGAGAUGUCAGCAAUUUUUAACUGAGCUUUGCCUGGAGAUAUUCAACUGGUUGGAACUAAUCCAUUUCCAGAAGAGGUGAAUCAGUGUCUAGCAAUUCGCUAAGACAGUUGCCCAAGUGCUGUUUGCUGAAAAUCUGCAUUUCAUUGCCUUCAUGAGGGUAGAGUCCACUGGCACGCACAAGUGCAUCCAAGGAGGCAGCCCCAAGGUCUCGUUUGAGCUGCCACAGCAUUCCUGAAGGUGGAAAAGAAGACAUUAUGUUGGUUAACAGCAUUAAAGGCAACAAGGACCAGAUUACUCAGAGGAGAAGAUGGAGAAAGAAAUGAAGGAGAGAUGGAGAAGGGAGUGAACGGGAUCCUGUGCAGAUCCUGAGCUCAUCUGAAAACACAGCGUAGACCUAAGUACAUCAAUGAAAUCUAAGCUUCCUGUGAAAGGCAAUUGGAUCUCCUGGGCAGCUAGAAGAGAAAAGUAAACAGUCUGUGGAAAAUUGGGACUCCAAAUACUCCAGUGUAUGAGCAACCUCACUGGUUUUAGUAUUUCAUUGAGUAUUUGGCUCACUGGAGGAUCACAGCUGAUGCCAACUCCAGUGAGCAGAUUUUUUUUUUUUUUUUGGGGAAGGCAGCAAGAGGUUUGGACAGGUAACUCAGGACAGAUAAUCUCAAAGAGGCACAUUUGUCAAUGCACUUUGAGGAUAUUAAGCUGCAAGGAGAGAAAAAUUUGAUAUAAAUUGCUCAGCAAAAGGAAAAAAAGAGUCAAAGUCUCCAUAAGAUUGAGCUUUGGAAACUGAUAUUUAAAGACAGGUGCAAAGAAACUUUCAGUUUUCUCUUCUGAAUGUUGAGCAAACUCAGAUCAUUCAGUGACUGACUCUCUGAUCAUGUAAUUUUCUUUCUCCUUUGUACGCAAGUCCCUUGAACUGCAUAACCUGAAACUGAACAUGACAAUUCAGCUGAGGUGUGAGGUGGUUCUCACCAGCCCAAGGCAGUGUUAUCCUGUGUACCAGAAGAAAAAUACCAUGAACUCUCUAACUCUCUGCAGGCUGAAGCUAGAACUGAAUCCAUCCAGUGAUGUGCAGGUUUUCUUUCUGAAAUUGUCAAACUGGCACUGAACUCAUGAUUCUGCACAAUUCCUGGCAUCUUCCAGAAGAAACACAAGGAACUUCUGCUCUAACCCAAGCCAUUGAAUAUGUAAAAAUAUUUUGAAUAUCCAUCUGCUGCAAUAAUAAGGCUCAUAUACAUCACGCAACAUUGGUUUUGCCUUAUAUAGCUUGCUGCCAAUGUGAAUAAAGAAAUAUUCUCAACAUUUGGUAGCAGCCAAGCUAUUACAGGAACAAGGAACAUGAAUGGAACUGAAAUGAGGUAGAUAAGACUGAAUGCAGGGGCACAAAGAGAUACAGAGACAUGACAAGGAUUUACAUCUGGGUCUGCUGAGCUGGAGGCCGGACUCUUCUGCACCCUCCUCUGCAGGGAUCAAGAAUGUACUUAAAGUCAGAUAAAUAACUCUCCAUUAUGUUAGUAAAAUGAGAUGUGAAGCAGCUGGCAGAAACUGACCAAAAUUUAUUUCGCCUGAUGAUUAAAUACAAGAAUUACUUAACCAAAUUCAGAUAAUGUGGCUGUUAUUUCUGAUGUAUAGAUCUCCAUAAGUCUUAUCCAAACAAAGAGCUAGGGGCUAUAUCUCUCCCAGAUGUCAGCCGAAUGCUCUCAAACCCCUGCUUUAGAUGUAGGAAGUUAUUCAUUGGUUACUUUGUGACUCAAUAUUACCUAGACUGGAACAAAACUGCACCACUCACUCAAAAUUGCCUUCUGACUUCCAACCUAAGUUUAUGCUGGGUCAAUCUUUAACCUCUCUUCCUGUGCCAAUAAUGACUUUCAGCAUAAAUGAAUAACUUCUUUCCUGGUGGGAGUUCUGUCCUGUAUUUGUAUUCCCACUCAGUGUUCACUUUGCUGGGCUAAGCAUGAUGUGUUAGCACGCCUUUUUUUUUUUUUUUUUUUUUUGUUCUUGUGUCCUUGUCUCCUGGUUGUGCACUCAGUUUGCAUACUAUUUUGCUCUGGGGUGGCUAAUCAGUUAUUUGGCUGGGUCACUGCACCCUGAGAUUCAAACCAUGCCCCUUGGUAUGGAAACAAUAGGGCAUUCAUUCAUGUGCACUCAAAGAUAAUAUAUUCAUAGCUUUAAUCACCCCUGACAAAACAAACCAUCCCUGCCCACGGUCAUCCCAGGAGCUUUCCAUGCUGCUAUUUUUAUAUCCAUUCAUCUUUCCUGAUUGUGGGUUGGUAGGGCUGGGAAAGUAAGUAGGGCAAGAGGUUCAUAGCCAGAGCUGUCCAAGUAGCUGUGCACCCUGAUCUGGCUGCAGAAACUUCCCUAAAAGUCAGUGCAGAAUGAUUCAUCCUAUCCUAAUACAGGUAUUUAUGACAGAUCAGGUGAUUUGCUUCAUAAGGAGACCUUUCUUUUGGCACUGAUGCUAAGCAAUGGCUACAAAAUUCAUUUGAAAGGCAGGUCUGAUGGGGCUUUGAGCAACCCAAUCUGGGGAGGUGUCCAUGCCCAUAGCAGAUGGGAUAGAACUAGAUAAUCUUUAAAGUAGGUCCCUUCCAUCCCAUACCAUUUUAUGAUUCUGUGAUUCUAUGAUUCCAAGAAAGGUAUAUGAACAGUGAUUAGCUCAAGUGUAGUCACCAUGAUAAAAUAUAUAUAUAUAAAAAAUACAUAUAUAUUUACUCAGAAAAAUAAUUUCUGAAAUCUCAUGAACUACAAGGAAAAUAGCUGAAGAUGAGGGACAGAUCACAUUUCACUACUCUAUUAAAUCCACUACUUCUACAGUGUAAUUUCUUUCACUUAUGUUCCUGAAGCAACCCUGCAGAACAUCUCCUACUCUGGUUUCCCUGGGCUGUGCUCUACCAACAAAUCCUGACCAACCUAUGGCAUUGCAGAAUAAGAGCAAGGCUAUUCCAAGUCAAAGAAAGAAAGGAAAUGAGUCUCCUUUAGUAAGACUGCAUGCUGAAAGUGAUCCCAUGAAAAGAUAACCCUUAAUCCCUACAGCUGCCCAGAGCUAAAAGUCAUUUCUUACUGUUCUAGUUCUAUUCUCAGGGGAUAAAAGCUGUUCUUUUCAAUGGAAGAGGCAUCUUAGACUAAGCAGAUUUAGUCUGAAAUGACUUCUCACACACAGGAAGGAAGGUUUUUUCCUUCACAAGUUCAAGUAUGCCACGAAAGCUGGGAAAGAAAUUGCAUCACUACUGAUUGUGCUGUGCUUGUACACAGACAGCAACAGAGACCUGAAUUUUCCUAGGCUGUCCGUGCAGUGGUUAUCUACAAGACAGGGAACUGUUGCAGCCCAGGAGGCCUUGCUAGGUACUGUACCACUUAUAGACUCACACAACUAGAAAUUUUCUAAGUUACAUGUAUUUCAUGGGGAAGAUUGGGGGGAAAAUAGGAAAUUCCUUAAAGGAUAUAAUGGUUUUAUAGCAUCAGUUAAAGAAGAAGAGAACAAAGGUUGAACAGUUUGGAGGGACAUAGGAUAUAUUUCCAGGAGAAGUCUUGGCCAAAAAGAGGUGGUUGAGAAAGAUAGGUAGACACUGCUCACGUGUGGGAGGGUUACCCUUAGCUGCUUUUUGUACCUUGUUGUAUCAGUAUUUUUCACUUUAAAUCCUUGAUCUAUUUGUGGUCAGAAUUAUAUUUUUGUCUGGCUUUUCACUUCUUUUAUGUGGCUGUAUAUCAAGUAGUGUCUCACACCUUGACGUCAAUUGUCUAUCAGCACUUGUGCUGAGGUUGCGCAGUCCUGCUGCACCAAACUUGUAAAAAUUUGGCUCAAAGCCAACCAAAUCCCCAACACCAAAAGCUACAAUGCUCGCAGUUCCUAGUAUUUGUAUUUAUUUCAGUGGUUUGAGGGCAUCCCAUGAAACAAUCAGGGCACUACUGUGAAUAAUCAUGCUGACUACAGUGCGUGCAUGCAAAGAUCUGUUUACCUAAGUUGGAUAUCCAAGCUUUACAUAUUUAAUUUAAAGUUCAUAACCUUGGUUUCCUUCAUAAUGAAAGAAGGGAAAUAGGCAUCUUCAGAAGUGGAUUAACUUGAUUUGUCUUAGAUAGCUCUCUUAAGACUGGACAAAUUUUCUUUUAGAUUUUUGAGCUUAAGAGAGUCUAAUCCUUCUUUAAUCAUUUAAUCUAAAUGAAACAUUUAGGUUCCCCUGGUAGAAAAGAGGAAAAGAUCAGGAAGGAGAUUCAUGUUAUUUUAAGAGUGAGGGUUAAGGCAGGUGGGAUAAAACUACUGAAGCAAAUGUUUUCUUUUCCCACUGUUUUAGAAAGAGACCAGCUAACAAGGCAGGGUAAAUGUUUAUAUGGCUAAGAUUGGAUGGAAGGAUUGUUUCCCAGCUUAUCUGUACUCUCUGGCUAGGAUGCCAUACUAUCUCUCUCAAAAUGGUGCAUGAAGGUGCCUGUUAUCGAACUAUUCCUGGUGCGUGUGUGACAGCCCCUUAAAGCAAUGUGAGAUAAAGACACAGCACACACAUAGAGAAGACUUUUGUCCUUAGGUAAAUCAAUUCCAUUUCAUUUACUCCUGGAGUACAAGAUAGUUCUUCUGUACUUUACCUGAAGAAAAGGGGCUGAAAUGCUCUAAUUCCAGUAGGUCAGUGUCUUCUCCUUUAAGGUUUAUGCAUAAGUGCCUAACAGAUACAUGUAUCCAGGCUGAUGAUGUGCAUAAUUAAAUGAAGGAUUGAGCUAUGAGUAUAAAUAUUUUUUUUUCCAGAAGCACCUG